rnacentral:rRNA from 1 species
CGGACGGGUGAGUAAUGUCUGGGAAACUGCCUGAUGGAGGGGGGUAACUACUGGAAACGGUAGCUAAUACCGCAUAACGUCGCAAGACCAAAGAGGGGGACCUUCGGGCCCCUUGCCAUCGGAUGUGCCCAGAUGGGAUUAGCUAGUAGGUGGGGUAACGGCUCACCUAGGCGACGAUCCCUAGCUGGUCUGAGAGGAUGACCAGCCACACUGGAACUGAGACACGGUCCAG